AGAAUCAACGCUGGCGGCGUGCCUAACACAUGCAAGUCGAACGAGAAAGUGGAGCAAUCCAUGAGUAAAGUGGCGCACGGGUGAGUAACACGUGACUAACCUACCCUUGAGUGGGGGAUAACCUAGGGAAACCUGGGCUAAUACCGCAUAAUACCUUCGGGUCAAAGGAGCAAUUCGCUUAAGGAGGGGUCGCGGCCGAUUAGUUAGUUGGCGGGGUAAUGGCCCACCAAGACGAUGAUCGGUA
rnacentral:rRNA from 1 species